rnacentral:tRNA from 1 species
AAAUUUAGGCUAUUCAAACCAAGGGCCUUCAAAGCCCUAAAAAAGAGACCACCCUCUUAAUUUCU